GGAGGUGAUGAAUUCAAGGCCAGCCUGAAC
rnacentral:piRNA from 1 species